GCUGACUAAACGACUUAACCACAAACAUACCUUACCAAACAAACAAAUCAUUUGCCCCACCCAGUAGUUGCGAUCGAACAGUCACAAGUCACAACAAAGUACCGCAAGGGAACCACCAUUAAGCAUUAAACAGCAAAGACUAACUCUUGUACCUUUCGCAUCAUGGUUUAGCAAGAACACAGGGACAAGAAGAAUCAAACGCCCCCCUCCCCGAAACCGAAUGAGCUAUUUUUAAGCAGUCUAACGGACAAACCCUUCUAUGUAGCAAAAUAGUGGGAAGACUCAAAAAUAGAGGUGAAACGCCUAUCGAAUCCGGAGAUAGCUGGCUACCCCAUAACAGAAUCUUAGUUCUACUUUAGAGCAACACCCUACCAAUUAAUCAUCUAAAGACAGUCAACAGAGGUACAGCUCUGUUGACCACUUCAAAUUAACUAAAGGUGAGCCUACACAAGUAGACAUCACUAUGCUAAAACUAAUAAUAAGACACCCCCCCCCCCCCCCCCAAACCUGCACCCGCCUUCUCAAACACUCUUCCUUACUUCCCUCCUCUUUCUCACCUCCUCUCACCURUACMCWCCCCUCCGCUAGAAACAGAAAAACUACUAGCAAUUAACAGACCACAAAAGGCAAACAACAAACCCAUUACCCACCUAAAACUAACUGUAACCCCAACACAGGCGCGUUAAAAAGAAAGAUUAACUGUUAUAAAAGGAACUCGGCAACCCCGGACUCCAACUGUUUAACAAAAACAUAACCUUUAGCCAAACAAGUAUUAAAGGCAACGCCUGCCCAGUGAAAAAUUAAACGGCCGCGGUAUCCUAACCGUGCAAAGGUAGCAUAAUCAUUUGUCUAUUAAUUGUAGACCAGUAUGAAAGGCAAAAUGAGAGCCCAACUGUCUCUUAUAACAAAUCAAUUAAACUGAUCUCCUAGUACAAAAGCUAGUAUAUUAUCAUAAGACCAGAAGACCCUGUGAAGCUUUAACUAACCUAUUAACCCUAUUAAUAACUACUUUCGGUUGGGGCGACCUUGGAAUAAAAAAGAACUUCCAAUAUAUGACUUCCUCAUAAACAAGGCAAACAAGCCAAUAUUAGACCCAGCACAGCUGAUAAUUGAAAUAAGUUACUCCAGGGAUAACAGCGCUAUCUUCUUUAAGAGCCCAUAUCAAAAAGAAGGUUUACGACCUCGAUGUUGGAUCAGGACAUCCUAGUAAUGCAACCGUUACUAAAGGUUCGUUUGUUCAACGAUUAACAGUCCUACGUGAUCUGAGUUCAGACCGGAGCAAUCCAGGUCAGUUUCUAUCUAUGAACGCUCCGCCUAGUACGAAAGGACCGGUAUAGCAAAGCCAAUACUACACGCACGCUUUAACCACAAAAUAUAGUACUAUUAACAAACUAACCCAUUCCAAACCUAGAUAAGGUUAAUUAAGGGUAAUCAAACCUUA
rnacentral:rRNA from 1 species